UGAAUACGAGAUGCUACGGCGUCGAAGCAGUGUAUGUCAGACUUCCAAGAAAAGCUCGCAAUGUCAUAAAUAAAGAAUGCCUGUACCAUAACCGACACAGGUGGGUAGGUAGAGUAUACUAAGGGGCGCGAGAUAACUCUCUCUAAGGAACUCGGCAAAAUAACUCCGUAACUUCGGGAGAAGGAGUGCCUUCUUUAAGAAGGUUGCAAUAACAAGAUCCAAGCAACUGUUUAUCAAAAACACAGGUCUCCGCUAAGUCGUAAGACGAUGUAUGGGGGCUGACGCCUGCCCAGUGCCAGAAGGUUAAAGAAGUUGGUUAGCUUUUGCGAAGCUGAUGACUGAAGCCCUGGUGAACGGCGGCCGUAACUAUAACGGUCCUAAGGUAGCGAAAUUCCUUGUCGGGUAAGUUCCGACCCGCACGAAAGGCGUAAUGAUUUGGAUACUGUCUCGGAGAGGGACUCGGUGAAAUAGACUUGUCUGUGAAGAUGCGGACUACCUGCACCAGGACAGAAAGACCCUAUGAAGCUUUACUGUAACUUGAAAUUGAAAUUGGACUUUAUUUGCGCAGUAUAGGUGGAAGGCGUUGAAAGUAAUCUUGCGGGAUUAGUGGAGCCAUCAGUGAGAUACCACUCCUAUAAUGUUAGAUUUCUAACUUUGGAUCAUGAUCUGGUCAAAGAACAGUUUCAGGCGGGCAGUUUGACUGGGGCGGUCGCCUCCCAAAUGGUAACGGAGGCGUACAAAGGUUUCCUCUGAACGGGUAGAAAUCGUAUCUAGAGUGUAAAGGCAUAAGGAAGCUUGACUGUGAGACCUACAAGUCGAGCAGGGACGAAAGUCGGUCUUAGUGAUCUGACGGUGCUGAGUGGAAAGGCCGUCACUCAACGGAUAAAAGUUACUCUAGGAUAACAGGCUGAUCUCCCCCAAGAGUUCACAUCGACGGGGAGGUUUGGCACCUCGAUGUCGGCUCAUCGCAUCCUGGGGCGGUAGUACGUCCCAAGGGUUGGGCUGUUCGCCCAUGAAAGCGGUACGCGAGCUGGGUUCAGAACGUCGUGAGACAGUUCGGUCCAUAUCCGGUGUAGGCGUUAGAAUAUUGAGAGGAGCCUUCUUUAGUACGAGAGGACCGAGAAGGACAUACCUCUGGUGUACCAGUUAUCGUGCCAACGGUAAACGCUGGGUAGCUAUGUAUGGAGAGGAUAACCGCUGAAAGCAUCUAAGUGGGAAGCCCACCUCAAGAUGAGUAUUCUCAUC
rnacentral:rRNA from 1 species